UACGUAGGGGGGCAAGCGUUGUCCGGAUUUAUUGGGCGUAAAGAGCGUGUAGGCGGUUUGGUAGGUCCGCUGUGAAAACUCGAGCUCAACCUCGAGACGCCGGUGGAAACCAUCAGACUAGAGUCCGGAAGAGGAGAGUGGAAUUCCUGGUGUAGCGGUGAAAUGCGCAGAUAUCAGGAAGAACACCCGUGGCUAAGGCGGCUCCUACUAC
rnacentral:rRNA from 1 species